UAGGAAUCCUCCCACCCGAGGGGUGGGGAGUGUCGGGGCUUGCCCUCGGGAAAGGUCUUCGCUCUCGGGCGGCACCUGCGGGGGUGCCAGGGAGAUGCCCCGACUUGCCCGAGUCUCCCUCCCUCCCGGCGCCCGGGAGAUGUCGGGACCUGCAGUAGGCUCAGCGAGGCAGCCCGAGCAGCGCGGCCAAGGGGGUGGCGCGGCUGAGCUGCGUGCGCCCUGGCUCCGCGUCCUGCCUGCCUCUUGCGAUGCCACCUCCCCCUGGUUUGGCCAUCCGCAGCGGAGGGGUGGACCUGAGGGUGCCAACACUUGGUUUCAGCGCCUGAGGCCACGUUUGCGAGUUAACUUCGAAAGCGGGCUGUAGCUCGCAGUGUGCGCGUCUGCGGUGUGGACGCCUCGGACCCGGGACGGCGGGACGGGGGCAGCAGCCGCCCCCUUGGGUAGGGUGGGUGGUGCCCACCCCUGCGCCAGGCCGGAUGCUUGGUGGAGAGAGUGUUGAACCUUGAUCAUCGAAGGGCUUGCAUGUAAUUAUGCUUAUAUGAUUCUCCAGCUGGGGAGCAGCUCACACCGUUUACCCACUGUUUAAGGCCUGCCAAGCGUCUCACAGUGCUGUCUCAUGCACUCAUAGUAAUUAUUAUUCCUACUUUAAAGAUGAAGAAACUGAGGCUCCAAGCUGUGCCGUCACUUGCCUGAGACUUCACUGCCGGUGAGUCGACGAGCAAGGAUCCCAGCCCAGGGGUUUGGCAGCAGAAUGUGGUCCUGUAACCAUUAGGCGAUAAUACCUUCUCACAAGAAAGAAGUUUCCCGGAUUUUGCUCUUUCCUAGGUUGUAUCUUGAGGUAGUGUGAUCAGACUGGCUCUUAACCCCAAGCAGGAGGGACCUCUGCAGCCCUCUGGCCCUGCUGUGGCAGUGCCCCUUCCCACAGGGUCAAGGAGCCUGGCUCUCUGCCAGACCGUCGAGGUGGUCAGAAUUGCGGAAUCCCAUGCCAAAUAGUACCAAAUUCUCGUGCAGGAUCUGCUUGGGCUCAGAACUCACCUCUGUGCCCAGGAAUGGGUCUUGGUUGGAGAGCGGACAGUGUUUGGACCUGUGGGCGGAGGUGUGGGGGUGGGGGGCUCCAAGUGUGGGGAGAGGGUGGUCAGUCAGCUUGCCUUCCCCCCGCCUCCCUCCUGUCCUUGCAGGAGGCCAAGAAUUCAUAAUUCACACCUUGCCAUCCACGUCCUUGCAGAGCAGUUUUUGUCAGGGUGAGAGGAUACAUCAUCUUUUAAGUUUAUCUUUAUUUAUAACUUAAAUACUUCGGUUAAUGGUACGUGAGUCUCUCUUUGUCCUCCUGCCCACAAAGGGUAGGCAUGGUUCUGAGAAUGAGGUGGUAGAAAAUGCUUUGUCCUUGUAGGCCUGGGGGUUAAGCUCAAGUGUUGGGUAUCCAUUAUUAUCUGAGACCUUGGGCCCGUCCCCUAAGCCACCUUCGUUUCCUAUCUGUAAAUGGUGAUAUUUAAAUUUGCCCUACCCACGUGCCACACAGGAGCCUUGGUGAAAAUCUGGUGCCCAAACCCCUCAUUUUACCUUGGAGAGAGCUGAGCAGAGUUAGAACCCUGGUGUGCUGGCUGCCCUGUUCAUGGUGCCAGCCGGUCCUCAGGGAUAAUACUUACCAGAUAAUGGGUGGGCACAAUGCUUUAAAAGCCGCAGCGCCUGGUAAAUGCAUGACAAUUACUAUCCAGACCCGGGCGGCCCACAGCUCCUUCAAGAGGAUACCUGCCUCAGGGCUCCAGGAGCCAUGCAGGUGAGUGUUAUCGGUGCCUCUCCAGGACCAGAAAGAUGUCGCAGUUUGAACACAGUCGUCCCUUGGUAUCUGCGGGGGAUUGGUUCCCAGACCUGUACCAAAUCCGCGGAUGCUGCAGGCCUUCAGUGAGCCCCGCGUAUCCGCGGUUGAAUCCCGGGACCCGGAACCCGCGGAUGCGGAGGGCCACCUGUACUUUCUCUCAGGGAUUCUUCAGUAGCAAUUUUUGUUACGUUCAGAUGGUCUCCCGCAGAAGGAUUUGCGCUGGAGCUUUGGGAUUCAAAAUGAAGUGAUGGGAUUCCUACGGCACAAAUUAUUAAGAUAACACCGGAAAGGCAUUUCUAGAAGACAACUUGAAGUAAAAGCUAGCGGUUUCAUUUGGCUUGCUCUUCAGCUGAAAGGACAGCGUCAGUAAAGAUGGAGAGAUUGAAAUCCAAGCAAUGGGGUGUCUGCUGGAUAGAAGCUUCCUAGGAGAGGGCAGAGGAGGAGUCUGGGAGCUGGUGGGAAGGCUGAGGAAGCGUCCUUCCUCUGCAUCAGGAGGAAGAGCCAAGAGACCUGAGAACUGGAGCUGAGAGGUGACAAGCUGAGGGAGCUCAAGCUGCCAGUGCGCUGCUCUCUGUGCGUAAACGUAGCCAGGCACCUGCUGCCAGAAGGGAGGCAGGCGUGGGUCCGGGAAUCAGAGCAGAAAUGAGACCGUGUCUAACAGUGACAGUGCAGCGCACAGCGUCAAGUUGCUCAGCUGCUAAAUUUGGGUUCCAUGAAUUUGUGAAUACGCCAAUUCAGCUUUUUAAAAAUUUUUUUUGUGAAGAUUUCGAUAAUUCCUCUUAAGUGUAUCAGAUCAGAUUCUGUUAAAAGUUCUGAAGCCUUUUGCUCAGCAUAUAAAAAUAAAUAAUUAUAAAAUUAACUCCACAUCUCCCAUAUGCCCUAAUCCUUAGUGAAAAUAUACGUGCAAACCUGUGACUUAUGUGAUUAAAAAUUCCAUUACUAAUGGGAAAUUAAAUGAACUCAAUAAAACCAUCUUACCUAUGUAGUCUCUUGAGUUUCUCUUUCUGUCGAAUGCUAAAUUACAAUAAAACCUUGGCUGCCUAAAUUCAGAGAAUGAGUCAUUUUGAGUAGUUGAAUUUUUGUUUAGAAAAUGUUGCCGUUGUAUAGGGUGUUCUGUCACAGCAGG
rnacentral:lncRNA from 1 species